AGUGGCUGCUGUCAGGAGAGCAGCGUGGUUGGUUCAUCCAUGUGAGGGGGGGCAGGAAGGAGAGGGUCAGGGACCGGGUGGGCCACCAGUCUUCACUUUGCAGACUGAAGGCACCUGGCUGCAGAAGGAUCUCUGGACCUACCUGGCCUCCGUCAAAGCCAUGCACGAGGCCUCCAAGAAGCUGAAUGAGUGUCUGCAGGAGGUGUAUGAGCCUGACUGGCCCGGCAGGGUUUAGGCCAACAAAUCGCAGAGAACAAUGACCUGCUGUGGAUGGAUUACCAUCAGAAGCUGGUGGACCAGGCGCUGGUGACCAUGGACACGUACUUGGGCCAGUUCCCCGACAUCAGGGUGAGAGGCCUGCUUGCAGGUGCCUGGCUUCCUGGAGGGACCUGGAGAGAGGACAGGGCCCAGGGCGUGCGGCUGAGGCCAGGAGGAGGCUGCCCUGGAGGCAAGAAGCCCCUGACCUAGCAUUUUAUCCUCCAGAGCUGCUCCCUCUGCUGCCAGCCCGCCGCCCCCAUUCCCCAGACCUGGGUCUUCCUGUCCCUUUUGGUCUCAGGGCUGUGGGAGGAGGUCCCACGGUGUGUGUGUGUGUGUGUGUGUGUGUGUGUGUGUGUGUGGCUGCAGAGUGGCUGGC